UACAGAGGGUGCGAGCGUUAAUCGGAAUUACUGGGCGUAAAGCGUGCGUAGACGGUUAUUUAAGUCGGAUGUGAAAGCCCCGGGCUCAACCUGGGAAUUGCAUUCGAGACUGAAUAGCUAGGGUACGGUAGAGGGAAGCGGAAUUUCCGGUGUAGCGGUGAAAUGCGUAGAUAUCGGAAGGAACAUCAGUGGCGAAAGCGGCUUCCUGGACCAGUACCGACGUCAGGCACGAAAGCGUGGGGAGCAAGCAGG
rnacentral:rRNA from 1 species